rnacentral:tRNA from 1 species
AGGGAUGUAGCUCAGUGGUAGAGAGCUUACCUACCAUGCAAGAAGCCCUGGGUUCAAUUCCUAGCAUUGUGA